rnacentral:lncRNA from 1 species
ACUAUGAUGCUCAAUAAAAGAUGUACUCCAAUAGGAUUUCAACUUUAAUAAAUAUCUAAAUCUAUCUUAAUUUAUCUCUAAUAGAUUUAAAUAUUAAUUCUAAUAUGGUGAGAUUUAUCCUCUAAUUAAUAUUUAAAUUUUAAUUAAUCUCUAACAGAUUUAAAUAUUAAUUCUAAUCCAAAUAAGAUUCAACUACAAAUCUAACCAAAUCCUAACAAUUUCCACCUUU